GACGAACGCUGGCGGCGUGCUUAACACAUGCAAGUCGAACGGCAAGGCCCUGCUUUUGUGGGGUGCUCGAGUGGCGAACGGGUGAGUAACACGUGAGUAACCUGCCCUUGACUUUGGGAUAACUUCAGGAAACUGGGGCUACUACCGGAUAGGAGCUCCUGCUGCAUGGUGGGGGUUGGAAAGUUUCGGCGGUUGGGGAUGGACUCGCGGCUUAUCAGCUUGUUGGUGGGGUAGUGGCUUACCAAGGGUUUGACGGGUAGCCGGCCUGAGAGGGUGACCGGCCACAUUGGGACUGAGAGACGGCCCAGACUGCUACGGGAGGCAGCAGUGGGGAAUAUUGCACAAUGGGCGGAAGCCUGAUGCAGCAACGCCGCGUGCGGGAUGACGGCCUUCGGGUUGUAAACCGCUUUCGCCUGUGACGAAGCGUGAGUGACGGUAAUGGGUAAAGAAGCACCGGCUAACUACGUG
rnacentral:rRNA from 1 species